rnacentral:rRNA from 1 species
CUGAACCAGCCAAGUAGCGUGAAGGAUGGAGGCUCUAUGGGUCGUAAACUUCUUUUAUAUAAGAAUAAAGUGCAGUAUGUAUACUGUUUUGUAUGUAUUAUAUGAAUAAGGAUCGGCUAACUCCGUGCCAGCAGCCGCGGUAAUACGGAGGAUCCGAGCGUUAUCCGGAUUUAUUGGGUUUAAAGGGAGCGUAGGUGGACUGGUAAGUCAGUUGUGAAAGUUUGCGG